AAGACGAACCGUGCGAACGUUGUUCGGAAUCACUGGGCUUAAAGGGCGCGUAGGCGGGCAUUCAAGUCAGGGGUGAAAUCCUCCAGCUCAACUGGAGAACUGCCUUUGAUACUGGGUGCCUCGAGUGAGGUAGGGGCGUGCGGAACUGAUGGUGGAGCGGUGAAAUGUGUUGAUAUCAUCAGGAACUCCGGUGGCGAAAGCGGCGCGCUGGACCUCUUCUGACGCUGAGGAGCGAAAGCUAGGGGAGCAAACG
rnacentral:rRNA from 1 species